rnacentral:rRNA from 1 species
GAACACGGGGCUUGCUCUGUGGGAUCAGUGGCGAACGGGUGAGUAACACGUGAGCAACCUGCCCCUGACUCUGGGAUAAGCGCUGGAAACGGCGUCUAAUACUGGAUAUGUGACGUGACCGCAUGGUCUGCGUCUGGAAAGAAUUUCGGUUGGGGAUGGGCUCGCGGCCUAUCAGCUUGUUGGUGAGGUAAUGGCUCACCAAGGCGUCGACGGGUAGCCGGCCUGAGAGGGUGACCGGCCACACUGGGACUGAGACACGGCCCAGACUCCUACGGGAGGCAGCAGUGGGGAAUAUUGCACAAUGGGCGCAAGCCUGAUGCAGCAACGCCGCGUGAGGGACGACGGCCUUCGGGUUGUAAACCUCUUUUAGCAGGGAAGAAGCGAAAGUGACGGUACCUGCAGAAAAAGCGCCGGCUAACUACGUGCCAGCAGCCGCGGUAAUACGUGGGGCGCAAGCGUUAUCCGGAAUUAUUGGGCGUAAAGAGCUCGUAGGCGGUUUGUCGCGUCUGCUGUGAAAUCCGGAGGCUCAACCUCCGGCCUGCAGUGGGUACGGGCAGACUAGAGUGCGGUAGGGGAGAUUGGAAUUCCUGGUGUAGCGGUGGAAUGCGCAGAUAUCAGGAGGAACACCGAUGGCGAAGGCAGAUCUCUGGGCCGUAACUGACGCUGAGGAGCGAAAGGGUGGGGAGCAAACAGGCUUAGAUACCCUGGUAGUCCACCCCGUAAACGUUGGGAACUAGUUGUGGGGUCCAUUCCACGGAUUCCGUGACGCAGCUAACGCAUUAAGUUCCCCGCCUGGGGAGUACGGCCGCAAGGCUAAAACUCAAAGGAAUUGACGGGGACCCGCACAAGCGGCGGAGCAUGCGGAUUAAUUCGAUGC